CUGGGUUCCAAGGCUUCAUGCCUACCACCCGCCCUCUGUCAUUUGCAACGGUAUUGCUUCGGCCGCUGGCUCCUCUGUGCGGUGCUCUCGGGCACCGGGCGGGGGGUGUCACGGUCGGUCUUCCAAUCCUUCAAGGAAUUUAUGUCGUCUGAUGCACAUGCAAAAACGAAAAGCA
rnacentral:misc_RNA from 2 species